CCUCGUGCCUCCGUCAAUGGCACUGGAAGAAUUCACGGGUUCCUGAUAGCGAUGCCGUGACUUCUCCGGUGCUGUGGACGGCGGCACGGAC
rnacentral:pre_miRNA from 1 species